rnacentral:rRNA from 1 species
GACGAACGCUGGCGGCGUGCUUAACACAUGCAAGUCGAACGGAAAGGCCCUGCUUUUGUGGGGUGCUCGAGUGGCGAACGGGUGAGUAACACGUGAGUAACCUGCCCUUGACUUUGGGAUAACUUCAGGAAACUGGGGCUAAUACCGGAUAGGAGCUCCUGCUGCAUGGUGGGGGUUGGAAAGUUUCGGCGGUUGGGGAUGGACUCGCGGCUUAUCAGCUUGUUGGUGGGGUAGUGGCUUACCAAGGCUUUGACGGGUAGCCGGCCUGAGAGGGUGACCGGCGACAUUGGGCCUGAGGUAGGGCCCAGACUCCAACGGGAGGCAGCAGUGGGAAAUAUUGCACAAUGGGCGGAAGCCUGAGGCAGCAACGCCGCGUGCGGGAUGACGGCCUUCGGGUUGUAAACCGCUUCCGCCUGUGACGAAGCGUGAGUGACGGUAAUGGGUAAAGAAGCACCGGCUAACUACGUG